GCGCCGGGCGGGGGAAGUGGGCGGAGCGAGGCCUGGGUAGGGUGAGCGGCCUCCGAAGCGGAGCGGGGCUCUGAGGAGACACUUUUUCUUCCUCCCUCCUUCCCUCCUCUCCUCCUGCCUUCCCUUCCCCUUUCCUCCCCUCUCUCCUCCUUCUCCCCUCGGUCAGCCGGAGCCUGCUGGGGCGAGCGGUUGGUAUUGCAGGCGCUUACUCUCCGGGGCCGCCCGGCGAGUAGCUGGCCGGGGAAGGAGGCAGGAACCGCGAUGGCGCCUCAGAAGCACGGCGGUGGGGGAGGGGGCGGCUCGGGGCCCAGCGCGGGGUCCGGGGGAGGCGGCUUCGGGGGUUCGGCGGCGACGGCUUCGAGCGGCAAAUCCGGCGGCGGGGGCUGUGGAGGCGGUGGCAGUUACUCGGCCUCCUCCUCCUCCGCGGCGUUACCGGUGAAGAAGUCGAAAAUGGAGCACGUCCAGGCUGACCACGAGCUUUUCCUCCAGGCCUUUGAGAAGCCAACACAGAUCUAUAGAUUUCUUUGAACUCGGAAUCUCAUAGCACCAAUAUUUUUGCACAGAACUCUUACUUACAUGUCUCAUCGAAACUCCAGAACAAACAUCAAAAGAUACUUGAAUACCUACCAAGUAGAAGGCACUAUGCCAGCACUGCAUAGCUUUCCUUGAAGAAGAGCAAUUACUGCCCUUCAGGAGUGUAUAAUCUAGUAGGAGAAAUAAAAUAUUUACAUGAGUUUUACAUGUAGGAAACUGAAUGAAAAGUAAGUGUCAAAAUAAAUAUAAACCAAGUACCAUGGGUAAGGAGAAAUCACUGGUUUGGGAAUAAUUGGGUAAAAGGUUUAAUGAAAACAAGUUAGCGUUUUAGAUGGGGCUUGAAGGCUUGUGUGCUGUAUUAUACACCGUCUCCAUAGUAUUCAUUGUUAUGGCUAAUCAUCCAUAGUUUAUCUUACUAAAAAUAAUCAAAAUCUGAUUUCCAUCUUGCCUAUUAGAGUGACAAUAAAGUAUAAUUUGUUUCUUUUAUCCAGUUGAGAAGUGAUUAUUUUGUUUAUCUGUUUCUUCCAGGAAAACAUUUAAAGUUGAUGAUAUGUUAUCAAAAGUAGAGAAAAUGAAAGGAGAGCAAGAAUCUCAUAGCUUGUCAGCUCAUUUGCAGCUUACAUUUUUGGUUUCUUCCACAAAAAUGAUAAGCCAUCACCAAACUCAGAAAAUGAACAAAAUUCUGUUACCCUGGAAGUCCUGCUUGUGAAAGUUUGCCACAAAAAAAGAAAGGAUGUAUGUUGUCCAAUAAGGCAAGUUCCCACAGGUAAAAAGCAGGUGCCUUUGAAUCCUGACCUCAAUCAAACAAAACCUGGAAAUUUCCCGUCCCUUGCAGUUUCCAGUAAUGAAUUUGAACCUAGUAACAGCCACAUGGUGAAGUCUUACUCGUUGCUAUUUAGAGUGACUCGUCCAAGAAGAAGAGAGUUUAAUGGAAUGAUUAAUGGAGAAACCAUGAAAAUAUUGAUGUCAGUGAAGAGCUUCCAGCCAGAAGAAAAUGAAAUCGUGAGGAUGGGGAAAAGACAUUUGUUGCACAAAUGACAGUAUUUGAUAAAAACAGAGUUUCACUCUUGUUGCCCAGGCUGGAGUGCAGUGGCAUGAUCUGGACUCACUGCAACCUCCACCUCCCAGGUUUAAGCAGUUCUCCUGCCUGAGCCUCUCGGAUUACAGAUGUCAGUACUUUGUGUGCUCUUGAAAUAGGAAAUGUACAGAUCCCUAUUGCCAGACACAUCAUUCUCUCCAUCCAGAAAGCCAACUUUGCAAGGACAAAAAAAAAAAUUAGUGUGAAACAAAAUGUGGCUUUUCCAAAGACAGAUGUGAUUAUUUAUAGUCAAUGUGGCCUCAAAAUGUCAUUGAUUGUGAAAUAGCAAACAUGCAGGAUCAUAAUAUUUGGACGGAAUCUUGCACUGUCUCCCAGGCUGGAGUGCAGUGGCACGAUCUCUGCUCACUGCAACCUCCGCCUCCAGGCUUCCAGUGAUUCUCCUGCUUCAGCCUCCCGAGUAGCUGGGACUACAGGCGCACCUCACCACACCCAGCUAAUUUUUAGUAUUUUUAGUAGAGACGAGGUUUCACUAUGUUGGCCAGGAUGGUCUCGAUCUCCUGACCUCGUGAUCUGCCCACCUCGGCCUCCCAAAGUGCUGGGAUAAUAUGCAUGAGCCACAGUG
rnacentral:lncRNA from 1 species